GAAAAAGCGUUGAAAAGAUGAGUAGUUUUGGAUAGACUUAUAGAGAGCUUUGGAUGGUGGAAGCAAAGCAGCCCUAACAAAAUGAAAAAAGCCUUGGAGCUUCAUUACAAGCCUGUUGUCAGGGGAUCUAAUGACGUAUGCUUGCGUUAAAAGCUAGAGUAUGAUGGUACUCGAUGAGGUUUUCUAAGUGAUUAGAAGACGAAACCAGGGUGGUAACACGUGAUCUCUCGUCCCUAGA
rnacentral:ncRNA from 1 species